rnacentral:rRNA from 1 species
ACAGGCUUAACACAUGCAAGUCGAGGGGCAGCAUUUUAGUUUGCUUGCAAACUGAAGAUGGCGACCGGCGCACGGGUGAGUAACACGUAUCCAACCUGCCGAUAACUCCGGGAUAGCCUUUCGAAAGAAAGAUUAAUACCGGAUGGCAUACGAAUAUCGCAUGAUAUUUUUAUUAAAGAAUUUCGGUUAUCGAUGGGGAUGCGUUCCAUUAGUUUGUUGGCGGGGUAACGGCCCACCAAGACUACGAUGGAUAGGGGUUCUGAGAGGAAGGUCCCCCACAUUGGAACUGAGACACGGUCCAAACUCCUACGGGAGGCAGCAGUGAGGAAUAUUGGUCAAUGGGCGAGAGCCUGAACCAGCCAAGUAGCGUGAAGGAUGAAGGCUCUAUGGGUCGUAAACUUCUUUUAUAUGGGAAUAAAGUUUUCCACGUGUGGAAUUUUGUAUGUACCAUAUGAAUAAGGAUCGGCUAACUCCGUGCCAGCAGCCGCGGUAAUACGGAGGAUCCGAGCGUUAUCCGGAUUUAUUGGGUUUAAAGGGAGCGUAGGUGGAUUGUUAAGUCAGUUGUGAGAGUUUGCGGCUCAACCGUAAAAUUGCAGUUGAAACUGGCAGUCUUGAGUACAGUAGAGGUGGGCGGAAUUCGUGGUGUAGCGGUGAAAUGCUUAGAUAUCACGAAGAACUCCGAUUGCGAAGGCAGCUCACUAGACUGUUACUG